rnacentral:rRNA from 1 species
UACGUAGGUGACAAGCGUUGUCCGGAUUUACUGGGCGUAAAGAGCGCGCAGGCGGUCGAUCAAGUCGAGUGUGAAAGCCCCCGGCUCAACUGGGGAGGGUCAUUCGAUGCUGAUCGACUCGAAGGCAGGAGAGGGUAGUGGAAUUCCCGGUGUAGUGGUGAAAUGCGUAGAUAUUGGGAAGAACACCAGUGGCGAAGGCGGCUCACUGGCCCGUAACUGACGCUGAGGUGCGAAAGCGUGGGGAGCAAACAGGG